rnacentral:rRNA from 1 species
GAGUUUGAUCCUGGCUCAGGACGAACGCUGGCGGCGUGCCUAAUACAUGCAAGUCGAGCGAGCCGAACUAAUUGAUUACCUUCGGGUAUGAAGUUAGGGAAGCGAGCGGCGGAUGGGUGAGUAACACGUGGGUAACCUACCCUAUAGUCUGGGAUACCACUUGGAAACAGGUGCUAAUACCAGAUAAAAGGAGAGAUCACAUGAUUUCUUUUUGAAAGGCGGCGUAAGCUGUCGCUAAAGGAUGGACCCGCGGUGCAUUAGCUAGUUGGUAAGGUAACGGCUUACCAAGGCAACGAUGCAUAGCCGAGUUGAGAGACUGAUCGGCCACAUUGGGACUGAGACACGGCCCAAACUCCUACGGGAGGCAGCAGUAGGGAAUCUUCCACAAUGGACGCAAGUCUGAUGGAGCAACGCCGCGUGAGUGAAGAAGGUUUUCGGAUCGUAAAGCUCUGUUGUUGGUGAAGAAAGAUAGUGAGAGUAACUGCUCAUUAUUUGCCGGUAAUCAACCAGAAAGUCACGGCUAACUACGUGCCAGCAGCCGCGGUAAUACGUAGGUGGCAAGCGUUGUCCGGAUUUAUUGGGCGUAAAGCGAGCGCAGGCGGAAAGAUAAGUCAGAUGUGAAAGCCCUCGGCUUAACCGAGGAAUAGCAUCGGAA